rnacentral:rRNA from 1 species
AAAACGUGGUGCCUGUUGUGAUGAAUACCCGAGUAGCAGCGAGCCCGUGGAAUUUGCUGUGAAUCUGCCGGGACCACCCGGUAAGCCUGAAUACUACCUUGCGACCGAUAGCGGACAAGUACCGUGAGGGAAAGGUGAAAAGUACCCCGGGAGGGGAGUGAAAUAGUACCUGAAACCGUGUGCUUACAAUCCGUCAGAGCCCUCGUUGUGGGGUGAUGGCGUGCCUUUUGAAGAAUGAGCCUGCGAGUCAGUGCUCGGUGGCGAGGUUAACCCGUCUGGGGGUAGCCGUAGCGAAAGCGAGUCCGAAUAGGGCGUUUGAGUCGCCGGGUCUGGACCCGAAGCGGAGUGAUCUACCCAUGGCCAGGGUGAAGCAGCAGUAAGAUGUUGUGGAGGCCCGAACCCACUUAGGUUGAAAACUGAGGGGAUGAGCUGUGGGUAGGGGUGAAAGGCCAAUCAAACUCCGUGAUAGCUGGUUCUCCCCGAAAUGCAUUUAGGUGCAGCGUCACGUGUUUCUUGCCGGAGGUAGAGCUACUGGAUGGCCGAUGGGCCCUCACAGGUUACUGACGUCAGCCAAACUCCGAAUGCCGGUAAGUGAGAACGUGGCAGUGAGACUGCGGGGGAUAAGCUUCGUAGUCGAGAGGGAAACAGCCCAGAUCGCCGGCUAAGGCCCCUAAGCGUGUACUAAGUGGAAAAGGAUGUCCGGUCGCGAAGACAACCAGGAGGUUGGCUUAGAAGCAGCCACCCUUGAAAGAGUGCGUAAUAGCUCACUGGUCUAGUGGC